rnacentral:rRNA from 1 species
UGAACCUCUAACUUUAUACCGUUAACCGGUUAAAAGACAGUUUCAGGUGGGCAGUUUGACUGGGGCGGUCGCCUCCUAAAAGGCAACGGAGGCGCACAAAGGUUUCCUCAGAUCGGUCAGAAAUCGAUCUUAGAGUGUAAAGGCAAAAGGAAGCUUGACUGUGAGACAAACAAGUCGAGCAGAGACGAAAGUCGGUCUUAGUGAUCUGACGCUGCUGUGUGGAAAGGGCGUCACUCAACGGAUAAAAGUUACUCUAGGGAUA